rnacentral:lncRNA from 1 species
AAACCAGACCCCAGAGGUGCCCGCACACUGCUGCUGGCCACAGUGAGAUGCUGAACUCGGCCGGGGGCACAUUGACCUGACAGGGAGCGAGGCGGAGGUACUGGAGGGUGGGGGGCUGCCUCCUCCCUCCCCGCGGCUGCCCACAGCGCCCUUCUGAGGCUCACUGUCCCAAAGCCCCCUCCCUCCCCCACCAUCAGGGUCUCAGCAGGAGUCCAGCCCCGCCCCCACCAACACCUGCUAUGGCUGUGGGCACCCCUGGGAACCGGUUUCCUUGCUCACCUGAGGGGUGGGGGCUGCCUCCUCCCUCCCCGCGGCUGCCCACAGUGCCCCUGAGUCUCAGGCCAUGCCCUGCCCCCUCCACACUCCAAUCAGUUUUGUUCUGAGUCUGGGGCGGUGGUGAGCGUGUCCUCCUGGUCGUUGGCCCCGUCCCAGGCAGGAGUGAGCCAGGGGAGGGCGGAGCCUCUGCUGGGUGCUGUCGGAAGGGCCAGGCUUGGUGACUGCAGCGUUCAAGGGCUCAGCACCUGGGGUGGAGGGAGGGAACAUGGUAACCUCCGACCUCCGGGGGCAAAGGGACGGGGAGCGUGGAGGGUCCUGCCUGCAGGGGAGUGAGCCUGCCCAGCACAGGUCCAGCCUCACGGUCAGGACGAGCAGCACGGGAGGGGCAGGGCCAGGACAGGAGGCCCAGCCACCCAUCCUCACAGAGCUACAGCAGGGUUAAUGAGUGUCUAGACUGGAGAGCGUCUGAACGCGAGCUGCUGACUGCCGUGCCUGACACAGCCUGGGUGCCAGGAGGGUCUCGGAGAGGACCGAGCUCCGGCAGGGACACUGCUGUGGGUGCUGAGGUGUGCGUGGAAUCCCGCACAGGAGGAGGAGCCAGCAGCCCCUGGCUCACACAGGACCCUGCAGAGCCUGCUGGAAGCUCCAGAGGCCGUCAGACCCACUGGGCAGGAAAGCCGGCAUGCCGCAGCCAGCCCUCGCCUCUGCCACACUGAACUCCUCCAGCGCCUCCUCAAUCACGCAGCUCCCGGCCCCGCUCCACACGAGGACGCCCGCUAAUUGAGCUGCGAAGGCCUGAGAGCAGGUGGAAGGGACUCGGCCGGCCGCUCCCUCUUCAGUCCUGAGUUGGACAAAUUCCCUUUAUUGCGAAAUAAAAACACGCAGCAAAGACA